rnacentral:rRNA from 1 species
AUGGCGUCUCGUCUGCUUGCGGCGGCCUCCUCCUCCUCCUCGUCUUCCUCCCCCCUCGCUCGCCUCAUCUCCAGCCGCCGUAUGGCCGGCGCCGCAGAUCACCACGGAUCGACAAAGGUGAACAUGUGGCAGGAGCCCUUGAACCCCGGCAACUGGAAGGAAGAGCACUUUGUGCUAACCAGCUUAGCGAUGUGGGGCGCUAUUAUAUAUGGUGGAUUGAAGGUGUUUGGCGGGAAAAAAGAAGUGAAAACCGAGGCGGGGUCAGCGCCAGCAGCAGCACCGGCACAUUAA